rnacentral:tRNA from 1 species
GGGUAUAGCUCAGUGGUAGAGUGUGUGCUUAGCAUGCAUAAGGUCCUGGGUUCAGUCCCCAGUACCUCCA